AGAGUUUGAUCCUGGCUCAGAAUCAACGCUGGCGGCGUGCCUCAGACAUGCAAGUCGAACGAUUAAAGCUCUCUUCGGAGAGUGUAUAGAGUGGCGCACGGGUGAGUAACACGUAAGUAAUCUACCUUUGAGUGGGGAAUAACGUCCGGAAACGGACGCUAAUACCGCAUAAUGCAGCGGCAUCGCAAGAUGACAGUUGUUAAAGAUUUAUCGCUUGAAGAGGAGCUUGCGGCAGAUUAGCUAGUUGGUAAGGUAAUGGCUUACCAAGGCUACGAUCUGUAACCGGUCUAAGAGGACGGUCGGUCACACUGACACUGAAUAACGGGUCAGACUCCUACGGGAGGCAGCAGUCGGGAAUUUUGGGCAAUGGGCGAAAGCCUGACCCAGCAACGCCGCGUGAAGGAUGAAGUAUUUCGGUAUGUAAACUUCGAAAGAAUGGGAAGAAUAAAUGACGGUACCAUUUAUAAGGUCCGGCUAACUACGUGCCAGCAGCCGCGGUAAUACGUAGGGACCAAGCGUUGUUCGGAUUUACUGGGCGUAAAGGGCGCGUAGGCGGCCCUACAAGUCACUUGUGAAAUCUCCGGGCUUAACUCGGAAUGGCCAAGUGAGACUGUAAGGCUAGAGUGCAGAAGGGGCAAUCGGAAUUCUUGGUGUAGCGGUGAAAUGCGUAGAUAUCAAGAGGAACACCUGAGGUGAAGACGGGUUGCUGGGCUGACACUGACGCUGAGGCGCGAAAGCCAGGGGAGCAAACGGAUUAGAUACCCCGGUAGUCCUGGCCCUAAACGAUGAAUACUUGGUGU
rnacentral:rRNA from 1 species